AUUGAACGAUGGCGGAAGGCCUCACACAUGCAAGUCGAGCGAGCGGCGGACGGGUGAGUAAUGUAUGGGGACUGCCCGAUAGAGGGUGAUAACUAAUGGAAACGGUAGCUAAUACCGCAUACUAUCGGAUAACCCAUAGGGGAUUAGCUCGUAGGUGAGGUAAUGGCUCACCUAGGCGACGAUCCCUAGCUGGUCUGAGAGGCUGAUCAGCCACACUGGGAAUGAGACACGGCCCAGACUCCUACGGCGGCAGCAGUGGGGAAUAUUGCACAAUGGGCGCAAGCCUGAUGCAGCCAUGCCGCGUGUAUGAAGAAGGCCCUAGGGUUGGAAAGUACUUUCAGUCGGGAGGCGUUACCGACAGAAGAAGCACCGGCUAACUCCGUGCCAGCAGCCGCGGUAAUAC
rnacentral:rRNA from 1 species